GACGAACGCUGGCGGCGUGCUUAACACAUGCAAGUCGAGCGGUAAGGCCCUUUCGGGGUACGACGAGCGGCGAACGGGUGAGUAACACGUGGGUGACCUGCCCUCAGCUCUGGGAUAAGCCUGGGAAACCGGGUCUAAUACUGGAUAUGACUCCAUGACGCAUGUUGUGGGGUGGAAAGCCUUGUGCGGCUGAGGAUGGGCCCGCGGCCUAUCAGCUUGUUGGUGGGGUGAGGCCUACCAAGGCGACGACGGGUAGCCGGCCUGAGAGGGCGACCGGCCACACUGGGACUGAGACACGGCCCAGACUCCUACGGGGAGGCAGCAGGUGGGGAAUCUUGCGCAAUGGGCGAAAGCCUGACGCAGCGACGCCGCGUGAGGGAUGACGGCCUG
rnacentral:rRNA from 1 species